AUGCUUGCUUUCAACAGCAUGUGUACUUAAGUUGGAAUGAUACAAGGUCAGCAUGACCUUGGCACCAGUAUGAGACACAAAUUCACAAAAUGUUUAUUUUUUCU
rnacentral:snRNA from 1 species